rnacentral:rRNA from 1 species
UACGUAGGGUGCGAGCGUUGUCCGGAUUUAUUGGGCGUAAAGAGCUUGUAGGCGGCUCGUCACGUCGGGUGUGAAAACUCGCGGCUCAACCGCGAGCCUGCACCCGAUACGGGCGGGCUGGAGUUCGGCAGGGGAGACUGGAAUUCCUGGUGUAGCGGUGGAAUGCGCAGAUAUCAGGAGGAACACCGGUGGCGAAGGCGGAUCUCUGGGCCGAUACUGACGCUGAGAAGCGAAAGCGUGGGGAGCGAACAGG